rnacentral:rRNA from 1 species
AUGGACGACGCGCUGACGGAGGGGCCGAGCCCGGCAUCGAGGCCCGUGGGGCGCAUGCAGGGGUUUUACGUGUUCUCGUCCUUGCGCGAGCCGGUGCUACUCUUCUCCAUGAACGUGGUGCUUAUGGAGGGGCCGCACUCCGGGAGCACCUUCACCGUCGCCGGCCGUGACAACAUGGUGGAGCCGCUGCGGGAGCUGUCGGUGGUGGGCGGCACGGGGAGGUUCAGGAUGGCGACGGGGUACGUGCUGUGGAGGACGGUGAGCUGGGAGAUGCACGAGAAGGCCGUCAUCGAGUUGGACGUAUUUGUCUACCUCCACGCCAACUCCCAUGCAUGA